UACGUAGGGGGCAAGCGUUGUCCGGAAUCAUUGGGCGUAAAGAGCGUGUAGGCGGCCUGAUAAGUCGGCUGUGAAAGUCCAGGGCUCAACCCUGGGAUGCCGGUCGAUACUGCCGGACUAGAGUUCGGAAGAGGCGAGUGGAAUUCCCGGUGUAGCGGUGAAAUGCGCAGAUAUCGGGAGGAACACCUAUGGCGAAGGCAGCUCGCUGGGACGUUACUGACGCUGAGACGCGAAGGCGUGGGGAGCGAACAGG
rnacentral:rRNA from 1 species